rnacentral:rRNA from 1 species
UAAAGAAUUUCGGUCAUCGAUGGGGAUGCGUUCCAUUAGCUUGUUGGCGGGGUAACGGCCCACCAAGGCAUCGAUGGAUAGGGGUUCUGAGAGGAAGGUCCCCCACAUUGGAACUGAGACACGGUCCAAACUCCUACGGGAGGCAGCAGUGAGGAAUAUUGGUCAAUGGGCGCUAGCCUGAACCAGCCAAGUAGCGUGAAGGAUGACUGCCCUAUGGGUUGUAAACUUCUUUUAUAUGGGAAUAAAGUGCAGUAUGUAUACUGCUUUGCAUGUACCUUAUGAAUAAGGAUCGGCUAACUCCGUGCCAGCAGCCGCGGUAAUACGGAGGAUCCGAGCGUUAUCCGGAUUUAUUGGGUUUAAAGGGAGCGUAGGCGGGUUGUUAAGUCAGUUGUGAAAGUUUGCGGCUCAACCGUAAAAUUGCAGUUGAUACUGGCAUCCUUGAGUACAGUAGAGGUAGGCGGAAUUCGUGGUGUAGCGGUGAAAUGCUUAGAUAUCACGAAGAACUCCGAUUGCGAAGGCAGCCUGCUGGACUGUAACUGACGCUGAUGCUCGAAAGUGUGGGUAUCAAACAGGAUUAGAUACCCUGGUAAUCCACACAGUAAACGAUGAAUACUCGCUGUUUGCGAUAUACAGUAA